UACGUAGGGUGCAAGCGUUGUCCGGAAUUAUUGGGCGUAAAGAGCUCGUAGGCGGUUUGUCGCGUCUGCUGUGAAAACUCGGGGCUUAACUCCGGGCCUGCAGUCGAUACGGGCAGACUAGAGUUCGGUAGGGGAGACUGGAAUUCCUGGUGUAGCGGUGAAAUGCGCAGAUAUCAGGAGGAACACCGGUGGCGAAGGCGGGUCUCUGGGCCGAUACUGACGCUGAGGAGCGAAAGCGUGGGGAGCGAACAGG
rnacentral:rRNA from 1 species